AUGGCUCUUCUGCCAAAGACUUUAUCGGCGAUGGGAUGCACCUGCGUCUGAUUAGCCAGUUGGUGAGGUAACGGCCCACCAAAGCAACGGAUCCAGUAGCCGACCUGAGAGGGUAAUCGGCCACAUUGGAACUGAGACACGGUCCAAACGUCCUACGGGAGGCAGCAGUGGGAAUAUUGCACAAUGGGCGGCAAGCCUGAUGCAGCAACGCCGCGUGAGCGAUGAAGGUCUUCGGAUUGUAAAGCUCUGUCCUUGAGGACGAACAAUGACGGUACUCUUGGAAGGAAGCCCCGGCUAACUACGUGCC
rnacentral:rRNA from 1 species